rnacentral:RNase_P_RNA from 1 species
UGUAAUCGCGGCUGGCAGGACCGAAAGGGGCCAGGUGAGGAAAGUCCGGGCUUCACAGGGCAGGAUGCCGGAUAACGUCCGGCGGAGGCGACUCCAGGGAUAGUGCAACAGAGAGAUACCGCCAGAGCGGCGCGUGCGCCGGAACUGGUAAGGGUGGAAAGGCAGUGUAAGAGACUACCGUUCCUCUGGUAACAGGGGAAGCCAUGUAAACCCCAUCCGAAGCAAGACCGAACAGAAAACUAUGUGGCGGCCCGUCACGUUUUCAGGUUGGUCGCUGGAGGGCACUGGCGACAGUGUCACUGGAUAGAUGAUUACACGCGACAUAACCCGGCUUAUCGUUCUGCUU